CCUACGGGCGGCAGCAGUGGGGAAUAUUGGACAAUGGGGGGAACCCUGAUCCAGCCAUGCCGCGUGUGUGAAGAAGGCCCUCGGGUUGUAAAGCACUUUCAGUGAGGAAGAACGCCUGGUGGUUAAUACCCAUCAGGAAAGACAUCACUCACAGAAGAAGCACCGGCUAACUCCGUGCCAGCAGCCGCGGUAAUACGGAGGGUGCGAGCGUUAAUCGGAAUUACUGGGCGUAAAGCGCGCGUAGGUGGCUUGAUAAGCCGGUUGUGAAAGCCCCGGGCUCAACCUGGGAACGGCAUCCGGAACUGUCAAGCUAGAGUGCAGGAGAGGAAGGUAGAAUUCCCGGUGUAGCGGCGAAAUGCGUAGAGAUCGGGAGGAAUACCAGUGGCGAAGGCGGCCUUCUGGACUGACACUGACACUGAGGUGCGAAAGCGUGGGUAGCAAACAGGAUUAGAUACCCUAGUAGUC
rnacentral:rRNA from 1 species